CCUUCCCACUCCUUGCCAAUGCAACCAUGCUUUCUUCUCUGUAGAUGCUAACAGUUCAAGCCCUUUUCCCAGGGCAUUUAACCAGCCAAUCAGAACAGCACAUCCUUUAGGGGAGAUAACCUGGCCAACAGUGGUAUCCAUCAUGUCAGCUCUGCUAGAGGGAAGGGGCUCAGGUCCUGCUACCCUCUGGCCUGCCCCCUGCUCCCAUAUCUUUUACUGUGUCCAUAGGAAUACUCGAUAAGGGCUCCGUCUCUGUCAAGCCAUGUAACAAAGGACACUGUGGGAAAAUGUCUGGCAUCAGAGGGAACAUUUGGAGACCAACUUGGGAGGAAAAUAUUCAUUUUGUCUUGAAUGAUUUUUAAUGAAUGCAAUAUUAAUCCUUGCAGAUGAGCAAUAAUCAUUAAAGUCAAUUAAAAGUGAUAAGACA
rnacentral:lncRNA from 1 species